UACGUAGGGACCGAGCGUUGUCCGGAUUCAUUGGGCGUAAAGAGCUCGUAGGCGGCCACUCAAGUCGAAUGUGAAACCUCGAGGCUUAACCUCGAGCCUGCAUUCGAUACUGGGCGGCUAGAGUCUGGUAGGGGGAUCUGGAAUUCCUGGUGUAGCGGUGGAAUGCGCAGAUAUCGAGAGGAACACCGGUGGCGAAGGCGGGUCUCUGGGCCGAUACUGACGCUGAGGAGCGAAAGCGUGGGGAGCGAACAGG
rnacentral:rRNA from 1 species